rnacentral:rRNA from 1 species
AGAGUUUGAUCCUGGCUCAGAAUGAACGCUGGCGGCGUGCUUAACACAUGCAAGUCGAGCGAGAAAGUUCCUUCGGGAAUGAGUACAGCGGCAGACGGGUGAGUAACGCGUGAGAAUCUGCCCUUUAGUGAGGAAUACCCCCGAGAAAUCGGGAAUAAUGCUGCAUACGUCUAUCGUGAAAACGAUGGAGAAAGAUGGCCUCUUUGCUGUCGCUAAGGGAUGAGCUUGCGUACUAUUAGCUAGUUGGUGAGGUAAAGGCUCACCAAGGCGAAGAUGGUUAACCGGCCUGAGAGGGUGUACGGUCACACUGGAACUUAGACACGGUCCAGACUCCUACGGGAGGCAGCAGUGAGGAAUAUUGCGCAAUGGACGAAAGUCUGACGCAGCGACGCCGCGUGGAGGAUGAAGGUUUUCGGAUUGUAAACUCCUGUUAAGUGGGAAGAAAUCCCCGGUUCUAAUACAGCCGGGGAAUGACGGUACCAUUAGAGAAAGCACCGGCUAACUUCGUGCCAGCAGCCGCGGUAAUACGAGGGGUGCGAGCGUUAUUCGGAAUCAUUGGGCGUAAAGGGUGCGUAGGCGGCAAAUUAAGUCAGCUGUUAAAUUUCCUGGCCUAACCAGGAACAUGCGGUCGAUACUGAUAUGCUAGAGGAUGGAAGAGAGAAGUGGAAUUCUCGGAGUAGCGGUAAAAUGCGUAGAUCUCGAGAGGAACACCGAUGGCGAAGGCAGCUUCUUGGUCCAUAUCUGACGCUGAGUGCACGAAAGCGUGGGGAGCAAACAGGAUUAGAUACCCUGUAGUCCACGCCGUAAACGAUGAUCACUAGACGUUAGUUCUGCUCUGCAGGAUUAGUGUCGUAGCUAACGCGUUAAGUGAUCCGCCUGGGGACUACGGUCGCAAGAUUAAAACUUAAAGAAAUUGACGGGGGCCCGCACAAGCGGUGGAACAUGUGGUUUAAUUCGACACUACGCGAGAAGCCUUACCUAGGCUUGACAUGUUUUUGACAGUCGUAGAAAUACGAUCUUCUUAGCGAAAGCUAAGACAAUUUCACAGGUGCUGCAUGGCUGUCGUCAGCUCGUGUCGUGAGAUGUUUGGUUAAGUCCUCCAACGAGCGCAACUCUUGCCGCUAGUUGCAAUCCUUUAAUUAGGAGCACUCUAGUGGGACUGCCCGGGAAACCGGGAGGAAGGUGGGAAUGACGUCAAGUCCUCAUGGCCCUUAUGCCUAGGGCAACACACGUGUUACAAUGGCCGAUACAGAGGGCUGCAAUACCGUAAGGUGGAGCUAAUCCCAGAAAGUCGGUCUAAGUUCGGAUUGAGGUCUGCAAUUCGACCUCAUGAAGCUGAAAUCGCUAGUAAUCGCGCAUCAGCAGUGGCGCGGUGAAUACGUUCUCGGGCCUUGUACACACCGCCCGUCAAGCCAUGAAAGCUGUCUGUACCCAAAACUGUCUUAGCCAACUCGUAAGAGAGGCGGGCAACUAAGGUAUGGGGAGUGAUUGGGGCUAAGUCGUAACAAGGUA